CUCUUCUUGCUCCCUCUUCCCUCCCCGCCCCUUCCCACUUUUUCCUUCUCUGCCCCGCCAAAGCUCCAUCUCUUAAAGUUCCUACCCCAAGUUUGUCCCUGCUCAAAAUUCUAAGUGUGAAUGACUUCAGGGAUUUCUUAGCCGUGAAAUCUGCCAUGUUACCUUUGGUUUUUCCAGUUUUUGAUCUUGAUCUCUUUAUCAGCCACAGUUUAUGAGGCCUCCAUUUUUGUAAAUUUCUCAACAUAAUCAUUUACCAGAUUUAAAAGGAAAUUAGCAACUCAAAUACUUAGCUGCAUUUAUCAACUCUUUGCCUGAAGAUUGCCAGAUAUAUUCUUGGCCAGAGCAGGAAACGUGCCCUUUGCUUUCUCCCGAUUGAGUAAUAACAUCUUCAUUAUAACCCGCGGUCUGUGCAGCUGUGUGCAGGUGGCAUUUUAAGUUGACCUGUGCUUCCUCAGCAAAUCAGAACAAAGCAUAGAGGAAAUAGAUUAGAACUAGAAUACUGUAGAUGAGUGAAAUAAAGAAUUACCAUGGGAAUUGA